rnacentral:rRNA from 1 species
GACGAACGCUGGCGGCGUGCUUAACACAUGCAAGUCGAACGAUGAAGCUAGAGCUUGCUCUGGUGGAUUAGUGGCGAACGGGUGAGUAACACGUGAGUAACCUGCCCCGAACUCUGGGAUAACUGCUGGAAACGGUAGCUAAUACCGGAUAUGACCAAUGAAGGCAUCUUCUGUUGGUGGAAAGAAUUUCGGUUCGGGAUGGACUCGCGGCCUAUCGGCUUGUUGGUGAGGUAACGGCUCACCAAGGCGACGAGGGGUAGCCGGCCUGAGAGGGUGAUCGGCCACACUGGGACUGCGGCACGGCCCAGACUCCUACGGGAGGCAGCAGUGGGGAAUAUUGCACAAUGGGCGCAAGCCUGAUGCAGCAACGCCGCGUGAGGGACGACGGCCUUCGGGUUGUAAACCUCUUUUAGUAGGGAAGAAGCGAAAGUGACGGUACCUGCAGAAAAAGCACCGGCUAACUACGUGCCAGCCGCCGCAGUAA